UAUUGGCCCUUUCAGCUUAUGCCCUUUUUGCUAGCUUGAAGAGGAAACUGCUAAUCAUAUUAUUUGGUCUUGCUCUAAGACAGCUGGUUCUUGGAUCUCUAUCCUUCAUUCUAUUGGCCUUUUUGCUAAUGAUCCCACUUUCCUCUCCUUUGGAUCUUGGCUGACUUUCCAGAAAUUCUCUAGAUCUAGCUGUGCUUGGGCCAGAGCUCUUAUCGCUUCUCUGGCCUGGCUCACUUGGAAAGAGAGGUGCAAUGUCAUUUUUAAGAAGCUGCAACCCAGAUUUGAUUCCCUCACAGCCAGAGCUACUUCUAUUUGUUCUGAUUUUUUCUUUGCUUCUGGCAAGAUCUACAGGGUGUUCUCUAAGCCACUCUCUCCACUUACCACCUCCCUCUCGAUUUCUAUUUUUACUGAUACCUCUUGGUCUUCAUGAAUAAACAUUUAUGGGCUGGGGUUUAUUAUUCUCACUUCUUAUGGUCAAAUCUUGCUUGCAGGAUCUCUGGGCGAUGUCCAUCCUUCCCCGCUGGCUAUUGAACUAGAUGCUAUGGCUUUGGCCUUGGAAGCUUGCUUGGAGCGCUGCUGGACUCCCUCUUAGAUCUGCUGUGACUGCCCUGGGAUUAUCAAUCUGAUUGAGAACCAUCAUCCUUGCAUUGCUUGGAAAUUCAACACUAAAGCUCAAAAGCUCAAGAAUCUUCUUAAGUGCUUCCCUGAUAUCGCUCUUUUCUCCAUUCCUCGGGAAGAUAAUAACAUUGCUGACGAGCUUGCCUUUUUUGGCAAACUUAAUCCUCAACACUCCCUUUAAUUUCUCCAGGGAUUCGAACUGUCCAGGAUGGCUUCUCGAACUCUGCCUAGCCAUAAACCUGUUUCUUUCUUCUUAUUUUCUUAGCUUCUGGCUCUUACUCUCAAAAAAGAAAAUCAUCUAUGCCACCUCACCUUUCCCAAUCUUAACUUUGGUUAGAUUUUCUCAUUUUUGGCCUUUCUUGCUUAGCAUCCGUGGGGCUCCAUCAUCCGUCUCUUCAACUAUGGCUUCAUUCCCAUCCCUUUCUAUCCCCUUACUGCAAUUUUGUGAGUCUCACCAGCCCACGUCUUCGUCACAAACACCCAGCUGAAGUUCACCUAGCCCAUGAAGCUCGUUAGUGCAACAACAAGAGGCAAGGAUGGUGAAGGAUUUCUAUGAGAUGUCUAUGGUUGAAGUCUAGCACUAGCAGAGAUGAAGAUGCACACAUGAAAGUCUAACACCGAGGUGACGGAGAAGGAGAUCAUCGACGAGGCAGUGAAUUGGAAGGAUGAUGCUGGUCACACUUGGGUGAAGUAAGGAAUUUUGAUUUUAAUAAAGCCUGGAAGAUAGAAGAAAAAUAAAAAGUAAAACAAGAAAUGGAGACAAGCCACACUAAAACUAGAAGUCGCUAGCCGAGGCCGCUUUUUCCAUCUAAUUAGGAAGCUCUAUUCCCAUAUGGAAAAAAGACACAUGGAUUUCUCAGAGCAAAGUUGCCAAGUUCAUCUGCCAUCCAAUUCAGGUGCCUGGGUUUCUCGAGUGCUCUUGUUUUAAGAGGUUGAGUUCC